CCUUGGCACAUUGUUUCGCAACUUUGGGUACCGGAAUGGACCCAGAAGAAGUCACAGCAGCUGCCGAGGAAGAACCCGGCCCCAGCGCCGUCGUCCAAGAUUCACUGUUCCCGGUGGUUCCCCAACCGGCAUCCAACGCCGGCGCCAGUGGCAGCAAGUCGGUCGCUCCUCCUCCUCAACAAUGGUUCUGCAACCGCAGCUUCACCGCCGACGUGUCCGCCAUCAACGAUGCCGUCUCUUCGCAACACGACCACUACUUCCCUCUCGACCUUUCAGGAUCAGAAAACGAGGGAGAACGAAAAGAUAAAACGGAGUAUGAUAAAGAUAGUAAUAGGCCUCCAUCAUACGAAUUGGUGGAGUCGUCCUCCGAUGGAGAUUCCUAUCGGAAAAGGGAUAGAGAGCAAGAGAAGAAGAAGAAGAAAAAGAAGAGAAGAAAUAUAUCUUCUUCUUCUUCUCACCGUGAAGCUGCUGCCGGUAAAGCCUGUUAUGACGCCUCCAAUCCCUCCUCGAGGAAGCCAAACGUUUCUUCUUGGGCAACGUCUGAUAACUCCAAGACCGACGCCAAAGGCUAUUACUUUGAUUCCCACGGCGAUCGCGACAAUCUCGCCUUUGGCUCCCUUUACAGAAUGGAUGUUGCUCGGUACAAGCUUUACAACUCUAUGAAGUCUGGGCUCAAUUCCGAAGCGUGGAAGAAACAGAGGAGUUUGGUUUUUGAUGGAGACAGCGAUAUUGAUGCACUGGAUGGUAAACUUAAAGCCAGUGGUCGCUACUGGUCUGCAAAGCACUCUGCACUUGAGCGCCAUAAGAAUUUCAAGAGAAUUCGAAUUAUUGCACCUAAAAAAUCAUUAGCAAGUCUUCCUGGUGAUUUCAUUCCUUUAUUGGACGAUCAACAUUCUGGUGAGCAAUUUGAUGGUGGGUCUCUUUCAAGAGCUUCAGUUAUUGAAGAAUCUUGGGAAGAUGAAGUGUUACGUAAAACAAAGGAAUUCAACAAGAUGUCGAGGGAACACCCGCACAAUGAGAAAGUUUGGUUAGCAUUUGCAGAGUUUCAGGACAAGGUGGCAAGCAUGCAGCCACAGAAGGGUGCUCGGUUGCAGACUAUUGAAAAGAAGAUCAGUAUAUUGGAGAAGGCGGCUGAGCUGAAUCCAGAUAAUGAAGAACUGUUGCUCUGCCUUUUGAAUGCUUAUCAAAGCAGAGACAGUACUGAUGUCCUUGUUGGUAGAUGGCAGAAGAUACUUGUGCAGCAUUCUGGCAGUUGCAACCUUUGGAAAUCAUUCCUGCAUGUAGCCCAAGGAGAAUUCUCUAGGUUUAAAGUUUCUGAAAUGAGAAAAAUAUAUGCCAAUGCAACCCAAGCUUUAUCUUCUGCAUGCAGCAGGAAGUAUAGGCAGGUUCACCAAACUGCUAAUGCACCUUCUUCAGAUCCUGCUCUUCUCCAACAAGAACUUGGUCUGGUUGAUAUAUUUAUCAGCCUUUGCAGGUUUGAAUGGCAGGCUGGCUACCAAGAGUUGGCUACUGCUUUGUUUCAGGCAGAGAUAGAAUAUAGUUUAUUUUGUCCUUCUUUACUGCUUACCGAGCAGAGUAAACGUAGACUGUUUGAGCACUUCUGGAACAGUAAUGGUGCAAGAGUUGGAGAAGAUGGCGCUCUUGGUUGGUCAACAUGGCUGGAAAAAGAAGAGGAACAAAGGCAAAAGGUUAUCAGUGAGGAGUCCUCAAAUGAAAAUGAAGAAGGGGGCUGGACUGGUUGGUCACUACCAUUAUCUAAAAGUAAAGAUGUCAGUGAAAAUCCAGCAAAUAAUGAGCAUGAUGAUGUUCCACUUGAGGAGUUUGAUGAGGAACUUCAAACAAGGACCAAUGAGCAGAAUGAUGAUACGGAGGCCUUGCUAAGACUGCUGGGUAUUGAUGCUGAUGCUGAUCCUAAUAUUGAGGUCAACGACACUAUAACAUGGUCUAGAUGGGCAGAAGAAGAGUUAUCAAGGGAUUCUGAUCAGUGGAUGCCUGUCCAUGCAAAAUCUGAUCGGGUCUCUCAUGGGGAUCGCACACCAGAUAGAGAUGGUGAUGAGCAACUUUCGAGGGUCAUAUUGUUCGAAGAUGUUGAUGAGUACCUAUUCUCUAUAAGCUCAGAGGAAGCUCGUUUAUCUCUAGUAUUCCAGUUCAUGGAGUUUUAUGGUGGGAGGAUAUCUAAGUGGAUUUGCACAAACAGUUCAAGUUGGGAAGAAAUGACUUUAAGCUUGGUGGCAUUGCCAGAUGAUGUAUUAGAUCAAUUGAGAAAGGUCCAUGAUGUAAUAGUGAAAUCAGAGUUUUCAAGCAAUUUUGGCUUCGAAUUUUUGGGCAGCUCAAAUAACAUCUCUAUGAGGGUGAACAUGAUGAAAUUUCUCCGUAAUGCUACCUUGCUUUGUUUAACUGCAUUUCCACAUAACUACAUUUUGGAAGAAGCUGCUCUUGUUGCUGAAGAGCUAUUGAAUACCAAAAUGAACUCUUUUAGCUGUUCAGUCACCCCAUGUCGCGCUUUAGCAAAGAGCCUUAUAAAGAGUAAUCGUCAGGACAUACUGUUAUGUGGAGUUUAUGCACAAAGAGAGGCUGCUUUUGGGAAUAUUGAUAAUGCAAGAAAGGUUUUUGACAUGGCAUUGGCAUCAUCGGAAGGACUUCCAUCAGAGUUCCGCUCAAACGCAUCUCUUUUAUAUUUGUGGUAUGCUGAAGCGGAAGUUUGUAAUGAUUCACAUAAUGGCUCAGAGUCAUCAUUCCGUGCAGUGCACAUUCUAUGUUGCUUUGGGAGUGGGUUAAAGUACAGUCCAUUUAAAAGUCAACCAUCAAGUCUGCAACAGCUGAGAGCACGCCAGGGGUUUAAAGAACAAAUAAGGAUGCUGAGAUCUUCAUGGGCACGUGGUGUGAUAGAUGAUAAUUCUAUUGCUCUCAUUUGUUCAGCUGCUUUAUUUGAAGAAUUGACCUCUGGUUGUGAUGCUGGUAUAGAAAUGCUUAAUAAGGUUUUCACCAUGGUGCUUCCUGAAAGAAGAAGCCAAAGCUAUCAACUCGAGUCUUUGUUCAACUAUUAUGUGAGAAUGCUUUGGAGACACAAUUCAGAAUUAGGACUGUCAAGAGUACUGGAGUCCAUUAUACAAGGGUUGCAAGCAUAUCCUUCCAAUCCGGAACUUUAUGCUGCUUUAGUAGAAACCAGCCACCGUCAUACAUCACCCAAUAAGCUGCGGUUGAUAUUUGAUAACUUCUGUCAAAAGAAUCCAUCGUUAAUCGUCUGGAUGUUUGCUUUGUCGUUUGAGAUGAGGAAGGGCGGUUCCCAACAUCGAAUACAUGGCCUGUUUGAAAGGGCACUGGGAAAUGAGAAGUUGCGGAAUUCAGUACUGCUGUGGCGUUGCUAUAUUGCAUAUGAGAUGGAUGUUGCAUGCGAUGCUUCUGCAGCUAGACGAAUUUUUUUCCGAGCUAUCCAUGCAUGCCCAUGGUCGAAGAAGCUGUGGCUAGAUGGUUUUGUCAAAUUGCAGGGGGUACUAACUACGAAAGAGCUGUCAGAUCUUCAGGAAGUAAUGCGUGAUAAAGAACUAAACCUGAGAACAGAUAUUUAUGAGAUUUUACUUCAAGAACAAGAUGAGAUGCAGUUGUAGUCCAAGAUGCUCUUGCUUUCUGUAAGAUGAUUGUAUAGAGCAGCAAGUCACAUCAGACGUUCUAGAUGGAGAUUGUAGCAGAAACGAGGAUGGAUGAGGCAUGAAAUGACACUUAGCAAAGUGUAUGAUGAGUUGAAUGUAUGUUAUGUAGCUCAUGUAUUUAAGUUCUGCUAUUUCGAAUUCUGAACAUUUUGAGGAAUGAUGAUGUAGAACCCUAUUUAGGGUUAUUGUUAGUUGAGAACUUAUGUUAUGUAUUAAGUCGUGUUGAGAAAUUUAUGCCCCCUUAAUAUAAGAACUGAUUUAUGAUCAAUGCUAAGAUGCUAUGUUUGAUUCUAGCUUCUGCAUUUGAUGUUUAUGUUGAUUCUCUUUCGAGAUAAAUGUAUGAAAAUUUUGGGAUGGAUAAGAGCGAUGAUAUGGUUUAGUCGUAGUUUUAAAUAGAAAAAAAAAAUUAUUAUCCCAGAAUUGUCCUGAGUUUUAUUGCACUCGAAAAAAUGGAGUGUUACAGAAAAUGUGUGCAAAUUAAAGAAAUCCUUAUAUGGAUUAAAGUAAUCUCCAA